rnacentral:rRNA from 1 species
GAUGAACGCUGGCGGCGUGCUUAACACAUGCAAGUCGAACGGACUUUUGAUGAAACCUAGUGAUUCAAAAGUUAGUGGCGGACGGGUGAGUAACGCGUGGGUAACCUGCCUCGUACAGGGGGAUAACACUUAGAAAUAGGUGCUAAUACCGCAUAAGCGCACAGCUUCGCAUGAAGCAGUGUGAAAAACUCCGGUGGUACGAGAUGGACCCGCGUCUGAUUAGCUAGUUGGUGAGGUAACGGCCCACCAAGGCGACGAUCAGUAGCCGGCCUGAGAGGGUGAACGGCCACAUUGGGACUGAGACACGGCCCAAACUCCUACGGGAGGCAGCAGUGGGGAAUAUUGCACAAUGGGGGAAACCCUGAUGCAGCGACGCCGCGUGAGUGAAGAAGUAUUUCGGUAUGUAAAGCUCUAUCAGCAGGAAGAAAAUGACGGUACCUGACUAAGAAGCCCCGGCUAACUACGUG